rnacentral:rRNA from 1 species
GAGUUUGAUCCUGGCUCAGGAUGAACGCUAGCGGCGUGCCUAAUGCAUGCAAGUCGAACGGGAAGGACUGAUUUCGGUUAGUCCUGAGAGUGGCGAACGGGUGCGUAACACGUAGAUGACCUGCCCUGGAGAGGGGGACAACCACGGGAAACUGUGGCUAAUACCCCGGAUGUUUGGAGGACUAGAGGCCUCCAGACUGAAGGCCUUGGCGCUCUGGGAGGGGUCUGCGGCCCAUCAGCUAGUUGGUAGGGUAACGGCCUACCAAGGCAAAGACGGGUAGGGGGCGUGAGAGCGUGGCCCCCCACACUGGUACUGAAACACGGACCAGAUACCUACGGGUAGCAGCAGCAAGGGAUAUUGCGCAAUGGGCGAAAGCCUGACGCAGCAACGCCGCGUGGAGGACGAAGGCCUUCGGGUCGUAAACUCCUUUUCUGGAAGGAUAAGGCUUGUCUAUGGACAGGUUUGAAGGUACUCCAGGAAGAAGGACCGGCUAACUACGUGCCGGCAGCCGCGGUAAAACGUAGGGUUCAAGCGUUAUCCGGAAUUACUGGGCGUAAAGGGCGUGUAGGCGGAUAUGGAAGUCGGACGUAAAAGCUCCUGGCCCAACUGGGAGAGGCCGUUCGAAACUCCAUAACUAGAGGCUAGUAGAGGCAAGUGGAAUUCCCGGUGUAGUGGUGAAAUGCGUAGAUAUCGGGAGGAAGACCAGAGGCGAAGGCGGCUUGCUGGGCUAGACCUGACGCUGAGACGCGAAAGCCAGGGGAGAGAACGGGAUUAGAAACCCCGGUAUUCCUGGCAGUAAACGAUGUCAACUAGGUGUGUGGGGUAACCAAUCCCUGCGUGCUGCCGCCAACGCAGUAAGUUGACCGCCUGGGGAGUACGGCCGCAAGGCUAAAACUCAAAGGAAUUGACGGGGGCCCGCACAAGCAGCGGAGCGUGUGGUUUAAUUCGAGGCAACGCGAAGAACCUUACCAGGGUUUGACAUGGCGGUGGUAGGGAGGUGAAAGCCGACCGACUCUUCGGAGAGCCGUCACAGGUGCUGCAUGGCUGUCGUCAGCUCGUGCCGUGAGGUGUUAGGUUAAGUCCUGUAACGAGCGCAACCCACGUCGUCAGUUACAAGUGUCUGGCGAGACUGCCGGUGAUAAGCCGGAGGAAGGUGUGGAUGACGUCAAGUCAGCAUGGCCUUUAUAUCCUGGGCUACACACACGCUACAAUGGCCGGUACAAUGGGUAGCCAAGCCGCGAGGCGGAGCCAAUCCCGCAAAGCCGGUCACAGUUCGGAUUGCAGGCUGCAACUCGCCUGCAUGAAGUCGGAGUUGCUAGUAACCGCAGGUCAGCAACACUGCGGUGAAUACGUUCCCGGGCCUUGUACACACCGCCCGUC